UACGUAGGGUGCAAGCGUUGUCCGGAAUUAUUGGGCGUAAAGAGCUCGUAGGCGGUUUGUCGCGUCUGCUGUGAAAACUCGGGGCUUAACCCCGGGCCUGCAGUGGGUACGGGCAGACUAGAGUGCGGUAGGGGAGACUGGAAUUCCUGGUGUAGCGGUGGAAUGCGCAGAUAUCAGGAGGAACACCGAUGGCGAAGGCAGAUCUCUGGGCCGUAACUGACGCUGAGGAGCGAAAGCAUGGGGAGCGAACAGG
rnacentral:rRNA from 1 species